ensembl:miRNA MIR4705 microRNA 4705
CUCACAAGAUCAAUCACUUGGUAAUUGCUGUGAUAACAACUCAGCAAUUACCAAGUGAUUGGUUUUGUGAG